CCUACGGGUGACAGCAGUGGGGGAUAUUGCACAAUGGGGGGAACCCUGAUGCAGCGACGCCGCGUGGGUGAAGGAGCGUUUCGGCGCGUAAAGCCCUAUCGGCAGGGAAGAAGGAGGACGGUACCUGACGAAGAAGCCCCGGCGAACUACGUGCCAGCAGCCGCGGUAAUACGGAGGGGGCAAGCGUGAUCCGGAUUUACUGGGUGUAAAGGGGGCGCAGACGGCAGCGAAAGCCAGGAGUGAAAGCCCGGGGCCAAACCCCGGGACUGCUCUUGGAACUGCGUGGCUGGAGUGCAGGAGGGGCAGGCGGAAUUCCUGGUGUAGCGGUGAAAUGCGUAGAUAUCAGGAGGAACACCGGUGGCGACGGCGGCCUGCUGGACUGCAACUGACGUUGAGGCCCGAAAGCGUGGGGAGCAAACAGGAUUAGAUACCCUAGUAGUC
rnacentral:rRNA from 1 species